rnacentral:snRNA from 1 species
CCCCACAUGAUAUUUCCU